rnacentral:lncRNA from 1 species
UUGCUCUCUCCACUCCUUCGGUUAUGGCUGAGAAGAGACCGGACUCUCCACUCUCUCCCUCGUUCUUUUCUUCCCAAGCCCGCAACUUUUUCUUCCUUUCUUUCUCCUCUCGGUCUCUCCCUUCUCACUCUAUCUUCCACUCUUCCGUUGUUUCUUUCUUCUUUCGGUUUUCUCCAACCUCAGCCACCCUCUCCUUGUUUGCCUUUUUCCGUUCUCAGUCUUUUU